AAUGAACGCUGGCGGCAUGCCUAACACAUGCAAGUCGAACGAAGGCUUCGGCCUUAGUGGCGCACGGGUGCGUAACGCGUGGGAAUCUGCCCUUGGGUUCGGAAUAACAGUUAGAAAUGACUGCUAAUACCGGAUGAUGACGUAAGUCCAAAGAUUUAUCGCCUAAGGAUGAGCCCGCGUAGGAUUAGCUUGUUGGUGAGGUAAAGGCUCACCAAGGCGACGAUCCUUAGCUGGUCUGAGAGGAUGAUCAGCCACACUGGGACUGAGACACGGCCCAGACUCCUACGGGAGGCAGCAGUGGGGAAUAUUGGACAAUGGGCGAAAGCCUGAUCCAGCAAUGCCGCGUGAGUGAUGAAGGCCUUAGGGUUGUAAAGCUCUUUUACCCGGGAUGAUAAUGACAGUACCGGGAGAAUAAGCUCCGGCUAACUCCGUGCCAGCCGCCGCGGUAACAC
rnacentral:rRNA from 1 species